rnacentral:rRNA from 1 species
UACGCUGGCGGCACGCCUAACACAUGCAAGUCGAACGCAGUAGCAAUACUGAGUGGCAAACGGGUGAGUAUAAUGUGGGAAUCUGCCUUUUGGUUUGGAAUAACACGAGGAAACUUGUGCUAAUACCGAAUAAGCCCUUACGGGGAAAGUUUUAACGCCGAAAGAUGAGCCUGCACUUGAUUAGCUAGUUGGUAAGGUAAAAGCUUACCAAGGCAACGAUCAAUAGCUGUUCUUAGAGGAAGACCAGCCACAUUGGGACUGAGACACGGCCCAGACUCCUACGGGAGGCAGCAGUGGGGAAUCUUGCACAAUGGGGGAAACCCUGAUGCAGCGAUGCCGCGUGAGUGAAGAAGGCCUUUGGGUUGUAAAACUCUUUCGUCGGGGAAGAAAAUGACUGUACCCGAAUAAGAAGGUCCGGCUAACUUC